rnacentral:lncRNA from 1 species
CCCGGGAUAGCAGAAGAGACCACGAUAGGGAUCGUGAUAGGCGCCAUGACAGGGACCGUCGCCAUGACCGCGACCGUGAUAGAGACCAUGACCGCUCCUCCCGUGGUAGAGAGCAUGACCGUGAUAGGAGAAGGGAACGCUCUCGAUCCAGGGACCGCAGCAGGUAUUGCUGAAUGUCUUUUUAUUUCCUGUUUGAUUUCAGAGGCUUGCUACUAUCAUAGGCCAAUCCUGACAGUCGUUUUGAUUCUCAGGCGCCAUGAAAGAUAUUGAGUCUGUUGCUCCAUGGCUGGCUGAUUCCCCUGGGGGAUACUCUCGUCUUCCUGCAUGAUAGUGAUGGUGCUUUUUAAGAUAUAUGGUGAGGUUGCGCUUUGUACUGGAGAAAGGAAGAUAGUCUUGAUGUUUGUCUUCGCUGCUGGAUUGUUAGUCACAAACCCUGUGCUCCUGUUAUGCAUCUUUUCUGUCUAUCUGACCUGAUGUUGUGUACUUAUACUGUUUUAUAUGUUACCAACAAUGUAUGAGUUUUGUGUUACUCAAGCCUCCUUGGCCCGGUUGUCAAACUCACAUGUGACGGUAUUUGUAAUUUGCUUAUCUUAUGAUGGUAUGGAGCUAAUUUUCUCCGUCUUGUUAAGGCUCUACUCCUCAGGUGGUUCGUGGCCUAAAGAAUUU